ACCUACGGGGGGCUGCAGUGAGGAAUAUUGCGCAAUGGGCGAAAGCCUGACGCAGCAACGCCGCGUGGAUGAUGAAGGCCUUCGGGUUGUAAAAUCCUUUUCUGGGGGACGAUGAUGACGGUACCUCAGGAAUAAGUCCCGGCUAACUACGUGCCAGCAGCCGCGGUAAAACGUAGGGGGCGAGCGUUAUCCGGAAUUAUUGGGCGUAAAGAGCACGUAGGUGGCGUUAAAAGUUGGGCGUGAAAGCUCUCGGCUUAACUGAGAGAGGUCGUUCAAAACUAUAAUGCUUGAGGUUGAUAGAGGAGAGUAGAAUUCCCGGUGUAGUGGUGGAAUGCGUAGAUAUCGGGAGGAAUACCAGUGGCGAAAGCGGCUCUCUGGAUCACACCUGACACUGAGGUGCGAAAGCGUGGGUAGCAAACAGGAUUAGAUACCCCAGUAGUCCAA
rnacentral:rRNA from 1 species